AGUGAACGCUGGCGGUAGGCCUAACACAUGCAAGUCGAACGGCAGCACAGUAAGAGCUUGCUCUUACGGGUGGCGAGUGGCGGACGGGUGAGGAAUACAUCGGAAUCUACUUUUUCGUGGGGGAUAACGUAGGGAAACUUACGCUAAUACCGCAUACGACCUACGGGUGAAAGCAGGGGAUCUUCGGACCUUGCGCGAUUGAAUGAGCCGAUGUCGGAUUAGCUAGUUGGCGGGGUAAAGGCCCACCAAGGCGACGAUCCGUAGCUGGUCUGAGAGGAUGAGCAGCCACACUGGAACUGAGACACGGUCCAGACUCCUACGGGAGGCAGCAGUGGGGAAUAUUGGACAAUGGGCGCAAGCCUGAUCCAGCCAUACCGCGUGGGUGAAGAAGGCCUUCGGGUUUUAAAGCCCUUUUGUUGGGAAAGAAAAGCAGCAGGUUAAUACCCCGCUGUUCUGACGGUACCCAAAGAAUAAGCACCGGCUAACUUCGUG
rnacentral:rRNA from 1 species